CCCUUUUUUUUUUACAAGGAAACAAACAAAGGAUAGGGGACGUUUGAAUUUUUAAAAGAAGUAGGAAUAUGAGGUUCUGAUGCUUGUUUGACUAUCGAGUUUGAGGAAUAUUGAAGACUUGAGGUGCUGGAAUCUUAGUUGGGCUUGGUCUAAUAUUUUACGCCAAUAAUUUCAGAAAGCUAUAAAAUUGGGCGCCGGCAA
rnacentral:lncRNA from 1 species